UACGUAGGGACCAAGCGUUAUCCGGAUUCACUGGGUUUAAAGGGUGCGUAGGUGGGCAGGUAAGUCAGUGGUGAAAUCUCCGGGCUUAACCCGGAAACUGCCGUUGAUACUAUCUGUCUUGAAUAUAGUGGAGGUGAGCGGGAUAUGUCAUGUAGCGGUGAAAUGCUUAGAUAUGACAUAGAACACCCAUUGCGAAGGCAGCUCGCUACACUAUCAUUGACGCUGAGGCACGAAAGCGUGGGGAUCAAACAGG
rnacentral:rRNA from 1 species